AAGCAGCACCAUUUAAUGAAAACAACAAAACGAAACCCUACUGAACAGAAGUCAGAAGACUUGGAUUUUCCUACUGAUUUCUCCUAUGGCUGAGCACCAUUUGAUGUAGCAUGCACAUACCUGAGACUGAGUUUCUGUCUGCAACAGACGAACUGUUCCACAUCCCUGCCCUCUCCUCUCCUUCCUGUCACUCUGAGAUGAUACAAGUGGCCAUCUAAAGAAAGUCACCAUCACUGAGCCCCCACUUGAUUUAAGUCCUAACACAUAGUUUAGAGUUCAUGCCAUGGUUAUCGGGAGAAAUCUAUGGAAAAUAAAGCCGAACAGGACUGCAGAUCAUCAACCGGCUUAACCUUGUCAAGCAGGGAUGAAGCCGGAAGUGCUGUGUGAGACUGACUGACAGGAAUGAAAGCCGAGGAAGGAAGCACACUUGCAAGAAAUGCUAAAGUUAAUGAGGUCUGUAGUCUGCCAUGGCCAAGAUCAGAGAAAACUGAUAGGCACAUUAUAUGUUUCAACAAACUGCCACCAUCUCAGCACCAGUCCUUUCAACCAGCUCCUGGGUCACUCACUGUUCUCGGAUCCUGGAGAGAAAACCUCAUGUCAUUCCCACCACCGUGGGCCACUC